CCCUUCGAUGUUCUGGGCCGCACGCGCGCUACACCGAUGCGUUCAGCAAGCUCUCUAACCUUCACCGAUAGGUGUGGGUAAUCUUCUGAAAGCGCAUCGUGUUUGGGCUAGAUGAUUGCAAUUAUUCAUCUUCAACGAGGAAUACCUAGUAAACGCAAGUCAUCAACUUGCAUUGAUUACGUCCCUGCCCUUUGUACACACCGCCCGUCGCUCCUACCGAUCGAAGAGUUAGGUGAAUUGUUUUGAUCGAUAAGAUUUGACUAUGGUCAACUCUCGUUGUGAAAUUCUGUGAAUCUGACUGUUUAGAGGAAGGAAAAGUCGUAACA
rnacentral:rRNA from 1 species